UACGUAGGGUGCGAGCGUUGUUCGGAAUUACUGGGCGUAAAGGGCUCGUAGGCGGCCAACUAAGUCAUACGUGAAAUCCCUCAGCUUAACUGGGGAACUGCGUCUGAUACUGGAUGGCUUGGAUUCGGGAGAGGAAUGCGGAAUUCCAGGUGUAGCGGUGAAAUGCGUAGAUAUCUGGAGGAACACCGGUGGCGAAGGCGGCAUUCUGGACCGACAUUGACGCUGAGGAGCGAAAGCCAGGGGAGCAAACGGG
rnacentral:rRNA from 1 species